CCAAAUGUUAUUCUCUUCUAACACGUCAGUUGUGUAACGCGAUAUUUCCUGGUCUUGUUUAUAAUCUACCAUAAAGAAUUAAUUUAUUUGAAGUGACAAUACUAGCUCAUCGUACUUGACACAUUCCUGAACAAUUCCGCCAUCUUUUUUUCGUGUUAGUUGGAAGAACGUGUUGGAGCAGACUGUUUGUCGUUAAGAAAAGGUUAGUUCGUGUUGUAAAUUGCAUCCGUUGUGCGACAGAGUGACACAAAUUGUGCGACGUAUUACAACGGAAAUUAUAAAGGAAAGUGUAGAUUGUAAUAUUUUAGAACAAUUAAAUUUUUGAUCACUACA